rnacentral:rRNA from 1 species
UACGUAGGGUGCGAGCGUUAAUCGGAAUUACUGGGCGUAAAGCGUGCGCAGGCGGUUCGCCAAGUCAGGUGUGAAAUCCCCGGGCUUAACCUGGGAAUUGCGCUUGAAACUAGCGGGCUUGAGUGUGGCAGAGGGGGGUGGAAUUCCACGUGUAGCAGUGAAAUGCGUAGAGAUGCGGAGGAACACCGAUGGCGAAGGCAGCCCCCUGGGCCAAUACUGACGCUCAGGCACGAAAGCGUGGGGAGCAAACAGG